GGUGUUGACUUACCAGCUAGAAGAAGUAGUAAGAAGCUCAGGUUUGACCCAGAAUGUUGGCUUGCUAUUUUUGAACUUGGUAUGGUUGAAGGUGUUGAAGAAUUUAGGAAGGCUGUUUAAUCCUAUGCUGUUGAGAAUAAAGUGCAGCUUACACUUAGGCCUAAUAAAAAAUAUAGAGUUAAAGUUAAGUGCAAAAGUAAGGAUUUGUGCAAAUGGGAGCUAUAUGCAAGUAGAGAUGGAGAUUCUGGAGAUUUCAUGGUGAAUGACUACCAUCUAUGGCAUAAGUGUACUAAUAAAAAUAAAAAUAAGUUUUGCACUUCUAAAUAUACAGAAGCUUGAUUUAUAUGUUGGGAGCCUUAUAUACAAGGCUAAGGCAAUUGUAAUGAAAGUGUUUAUAGGGGACUGAAAGCUAGAAUUUUUCAGAUUGGCUGAUUAUGCUGUUAUGAUUAGUAGGACAAAUCCAGGGAGUUCUUACUGGAUCAGAACUAACAAGGACACUGUACCAGGGAAGAAUAUGUUUGUUUUCUUUUAUGUCUAUUUUGAUGCCCUUAAAAUGGAUUGGUUAGAAAGUUGUAGAAGAAUUAUUGAUUUUGGUGGAUGCUUCUUGAAAGGGUUGUGUAAAGGUGAGUUACUGGUAGCUGUUGGCAAAAAUGGGAACAAUCAGAUGUUUGCAAUAGUAUGGGAAGUUGUGGACUAAGAGACAAAACACUCUUGGACAUGGUUCAUUCAACACUUGAGUGCUGACUUGGAAUUAGGAGAUGGUUUCAGCUUAACAGUAAUGUCAGACAGUUAAAAGAGCAUAGGAUGUAUUUUAGACAUAUAUGGUCCAACUGGGCAAACAAAAGGGAAAUGUGAAGAAAGAAGGAUACAAUUUUGGAGAUGUGCCAAGCCUUCCUUUGUAGUGCAUUUCAAGGAUGAGCUUGCCAGAUUGGGAAUGCUGGGGAGAAACAUAUGUGAGGAUGUUCUGGAUUACAACAAAGAAGUAUGGGUAAGGGCUUAUUUUAGUCCUGUGUCCAAAUGUGAUGUUGUUGAAAACAAUAUGUGUGAGACAUUUAAUUCAUGGAUAGUGGUACCUAGGCACAAGUCAAUUAUAACUAUGUGAGAGAAAAUUAGACACAAAGUGAUGACUAGAACUGUUGAUAUGAGGAGAUUUGAUGAUGCUUGGAUAACAAAUAUAUCCCCUACAGCAAGAAUGAAUUUAGAAGAAAAUAAAGAUGCAUCUCGGAGAUGUAAAGUUCUUUGGAAUGGGGAUAAUGGUUUUGAGAUUUCUGAUGAUGAUAUUAGGCAUAUUGUUGAUUUAAGAGAGAAGAAUUGCACUUGUAAAACCUGGAUGUUGAGAGGAAUUCCAUGCCCUCAUGCUAUUUGUUCCCUAUAUCACUUAGGACAGAAUCCAGAUGACUUGGUUAAAUAUUGGUACAGAAAGACAACCUUCAUGAAAGCUUACUAAUAUUUUAUACAAUCUAUUCCCAACAUGAAAAUGUGGCAAGAAUUAUCAAAUCCCUCUAUUGAUCCACCUGAACCAAAACCAAUGCCAGGAAAGCCUAAAAGAUGCAGGAGAAGAGCAAAGGAUAAGCCAAGAAAGAAACAUGGCAAGCUGUCAAAUAAAUGAGUGAAGAUGACUUGUUCAAAGUGUUAUCAGUUAGGUCACAACAAAACUACAUGCAAAUUAGGGGUAGGAUCAAUUAAUUUUCUAUGAUUUUAGCAUUCUAUAAUUCACACUAACUGUUUAUGCUUCAGUCAACUCAAAUAAGUCAGCCAACUCCAAGGAGGCAGCCAACCUCAAUCAUGCCUACCAUUCUAUCCUCAAUUUAUGAGGACAUAUCUGCUGUGAAACGAUGUGGUCAGAGUCAGUCCAGUUCUGUAGGAAAAUGAAGAGGAAGGGGGAGGAGAAAUGGCCUAGGAAGGGGAUAUUUUAGAUCAGUAGCUACUGCUAUGGAAGGAAGGGGCAUAAGCACACAAGCAACAUCUGAAACUCAGCAAAUAAUAGGAUAUAAGAGGUCUAGGCAGUCUGGUUUUGGUGUUUAUCAAGACACAAUGACUGAAAGAUCUAUAUUGAAUGUAAGCUGGUUCUAUAAGCUUGUUUCUUUCUUUUAUAUAUCAAUUGCUAAUUUUAGUAUUUUGCAGCCUGGUGCACAUUACGAAAGAGUAAUAGCACCUGGUACAUUUAGAGAUGCAUCUGCAACAAAUAUUGAUCUUCGAUUUAAGCUUAAUGGUCUUCAGAUGAUGAGUGCAGCCAGGAAUAUAAGAAGUUCCAGUCAACCCAUGGAGGGAAAAAUAUUUUAGAAGUCUUUUGUCUAUGUUAUAGGGCUAGUUAAGUUAAGGUUAUUAUGAAUCUUUUGUAUGAUAUUUUUUGGUAUUGCAAUUGUAAGACCCAUGUUGGGGAUGCUUUCUGCUAUUUUCCAAUUGCAGACUUAAGUAGUCGAUGAUUCAGACCAA